AUUUUCAUUUAGUACGUCGCUCACAUUUCAACUGUUCGGUGCUUUUUGACUGUUUGGAACAUUUUUUAAAAACUUACGUUAAAACGUUGUUGAUAUACUUAUUAAUAUUUGUUUUAUUUUAUUAAAUAAAUAAUAAUAACAAACAAAAAAAAACUAAAAACUAAACCACAA